GUUGCUUUGGCAACACAUACUGAAAUUCAAGCGAUACAGAGAAAAUUAGCAUGGUCCCUGUGCAAGGAUGACAUGGAAAUUCAUGAAGCAUUCCAUAUUAUU